rnacentral:tRNA from 2 species
CGGGGUGUGGCGCAGUUUGGUAGCGCAUCUGCUUUGGGAGCAGAGGGUCGCUGGUUCGAAUCCAGUCACCCCGACCA